CUCUGAAGGUUGAAAAGCCUUAUAGGAACAAGAUAGAAGGCUUAAACUCACGCAAGCCUCAUACGGAAAAGAGAAACAUAACGAGAAACAGAGGCAGCAAGACUAUUUACGCAGGCAACAAAAAUUUUAGGGUUCUUCACAAAUCACUAAUUCUUGAACUUAGAAUCAAUUGUUUGACGGGUAUAAAUUGGAUUGGGGCUUAUGCAUUGGCUCAAGGAGUUUUGAGGAACCGAUUUUGCAGGCGAGCAGGCUACGGGUUAG